GGGGGCGCAUUGGAUUCGAUUCCGCGAAGCAGAACGGCGCUGCAUGCCGGAGAAGGGUGGUUGGCUCCGUUAUCAAUCCAUUCAUUGUCACUAAAUGGCAAAAAUAACAUCGUUGGUGGUGUUCAGUUCCGCGGAAGCGGGCUGAAGGCUGCCUAGGCAAUGCCGCCCAAUGAGGCGGCACGGCGUGGGGCUGUUCGCCCACCGGGCUCCACGCCGGUUGUCGGUGGGCAAGGCUUCGGAGGAGUGCGGACCCGGAGCCGAGAUUACGCGCUCGCCGAAGGCAUUCUAGGCUGCACCGGAAUCCUUUGGUUAAAUCCAAGGCACAGCUAAGCAUGUAGACGCACCGUUCGAGGGCACGGAAGACGUGGGUUCAACUCCCACCGCCUCCACCG
rnacentral:tmRNA from 1 species